CCGCCAUAUCGCCCACAUAUUUCCUUUGGCUCAAGUUUACGUUCUUCCUUAGCUGUGUGUAUCUGACAGACGGAGACUGCGAAGAAGAAAACGGACAAAUAUGAAUUUAAAAGUCAAAAUAACCUACUGAGGCGGGUGAGGAUAUGGAUCCAAGGUUCGCAAAAUAAAAGCGGAUCUUGAGAAAAAAUUCCCUGGUAUCCUGGACAUUAGUACUAAAGCCACACCCACAAUAACAGGGUGGUUGGAAAUUGAAGCAAGUGGGAAGUUGAUUCACUCCAAGAAGAAUGGAGAUGGCUAUGUUGACACUCAAGCCAAGUAUGAGAAGAUUUUUGCUGGAAUUGAGAAUGCAUUAUCAAGCAGAUAAUGAAUACUUGACUGCUGAUCAUUGGUUUUCAUAGUUUAAGCUGCUUCACCCAUUCUCAGUGAUGUUAUACCUCUAUAUGACAUGUCUAGCUGAAAAGUGUUUUAUUUCACCAGGCUGGUCAUUGAUACUUUGAGGGAACACACUCAGGAUUGGUAGACCAACUUUACUCUGCAUACCUUGGUCUUUCAACUUUAGUUCUUUUAGUGCAUCGCAUUUUAAUUUUCUGUAUUUAGACAUUUUCAGUUCCAACUGACUAAAACUGUAUGUUGAUUUCUCAUUAUUUAUUGAUUUAUUAAUUUUGAAUUUUAAUUAUAAUUUGUACUUUGUUUUUGAAAUUCAUGAGCAAUGUUUCUACUCCCAGGCAAACCAGCUUUCGACUAUAAACUAGUUUUUUUUUCAUGUUGUAAUUGGUGAAGUAAAUACAUAAAAAUAUCACUUAUGUCUGUUUUUCUAUACAUUGUAUAUAGUUGGUAGUUCAUAGUUGACCAUGGUUGUUAUGGUUACACUUCCAGACCACCGCCAUUGCUACAUGUAAUUAUGGUUGGAGAUUAAUACCCUUCUUAGCAUGGUCUGCCUGAGUCUAUAAUUAAAUUUGUUGAACAUCAACAUACUUGUAAUGAUAGAAAUACCUAUUUUUCACCGGCUGGAUGUAAAAUGCUAGUAUAUUUGCAAUAACUGCAUGUAAAUAAAUAUAUAUGUUGUCAAUUGCAAACAAAAACAAAAGUCCCAUUUACUAGUUUAUUCUGGUUGUUUAUUUUCCCACACUAGUGGUGAAACCAACGUUUGUAUUGGACAAUAAUUUCUUUCUCUUAUUGACAUAAUAGGUGUCUCGUGUCUAGAUUUUAAUUGUUACAAAUAUUUCUGAUGCAGAUAUCCAAGCUUAGAUAAAUUUCCCUGUAUUUAAUAUUUAUAGUAAUUUAUGAAAUAAUGAUUAAAAGGUUUUCCAAUUCAACUUGCUUUCCAAAAAUAUGUCUAAUAAUCAUCAGGAUCUGGCAGCCUUGCACAUAAUUUAAGAGCUCAAAAUUGUUCCAACUUUUCAGGUUUGUUCAUUAAUUGGAUUACUUUAAACAUCUCCAAUAUUUAUAUUUUCAAUAUUAUAUAUAGGAAAAUUAAACUUUGCACACUGCUUUUUGUGUUGUAAUGAAUAAUCACCUAUUUCACCAGAUAUUCACAUAUUCCUACUUAUAACUGGCUUGAGGUGAUGGUUACCUUGCUGUUUAUAAUAAAAAUGAUUAUUUCAUCUGAACA